UUUACUGUAAAUUUACAGCGAAUUUCUUACAGAAUUGUACUGUAGUUCCAUAAUACAGUAUAAGGCUGUAUAAUUUACAGAACAGCUGGAAAUAUACAGCACAUUUCUGUUUUCCUCCCGAUAAAUUCGUAAUACAGUAUCAGACUGUAAAUGCAUUGCAUUGUGGGAUUGAUUUUAUUCGCGCUCAAAUUCAGAUGAGACAUGACGCCAACUGAUGUGCCAACUGUGUGAGUUUUUGUGAGUUUGUAAUUAAUCUUUAAGCUUUUUGGUUCAUGUGAGCUUCGUUUCGUGUAAGCUUUUGUGUGCGUCUUUCAAAUAUGAGUUGCCUGUGACGCAGCAGAAACGGUUAACGUCACAUGAACUUCAUGAAGACGGGAGGAAGAAUCGGUCAUGCAUCUGUGAGCAAAAGUGGAUUUUAGAACUUGAGAAGACUGUUCAACUGACUGAUACGAAUAAUGUCUGGAAUGAAAGAAGUCCUGAAAGAUGCUGUAUUGUUGGUGUUGGCAAGCCUAUCUCCAGAUGUAACCAACCAGCUUGUUGAGAAGCUCAUGGACCAAGGCGUCGAAGGCUUGGAUGAUUUGGUUUAUGUAAAAGAAGAUGACAUUUUGGAGUUUAUAAGACCUAUCCAAUGCAGAAAACUUCUUAGUUCAUGGAAAAAUCAAGGUCAAUCUCUGAGCAACCAGCGCUGGAUGUUGAGUUUGGAGGGUCAAGUUGUGUGUGAUGGAGCACAGCCCAACUUCAUCACUGGCCUGGCAGUGCUGUUUGCCUCCUUCUAUAAUUUCGAUUUACAGUACCAGGAAGAGGCAGCAUGCACCCUUGAGUUUGUUCAGAGGUAAGUCAUUAGCAUAUUUGACAUAUGUUUUAGACUGAAUUGUCACUAACCUUUGUCUUGACAGUAUUUGUUAAGGACUUCAUU